rnacentral:misc_RNA from 1 species
UUCAUAGCUACAGGGGAUAUUGUUAUCCUCAAAAGCAACAACAGCAAUAAUGAAAACAAAACUAUAGUGAAUCAAUGCCACGAGACACAAACUGAAACAAAUAUUUCUUGACUUCAUUUCUUUUUUUUUGGAAAUAUAGCAUAAUUUCAAAGUUAAAGCAAUCAGCGACCAGAAAUAGUUAAAAUUCAAACGGAGAAAUGAGAUCUACUAAAAACAGAUUAAAAUGUUGAAAUGAAUCAGUUAAGCGGUGUAAAGAACUAACCAAUGGAAGCAUUUGUG